UACGUAGGGUGCGAGCGUUAAUCGGAAUUACUGGGCGUAAAGCGUGCGCAGGCGGUGAUGUAAGACCGAUGUGAAAUCCCCGGGCUUAACCUGGGAAUUGCGUUGGAGACUGCAAGGCUGGAGUCUGGCAGAGGGGGGUAGAAUUCCACGUGUAGCAGUGAAAUGCGUAGAGAUGUGGAGGAACACCGAUGGCGAAGGCAGCCCCCUGGGCCGAUACUGACGCUCAGGCACGAAAGCGUGGGGAGCAAACAGG
rnacentral:rRNA from 1 species